GACAGAGGGUGCAAACGUUGCUCGGAAUCACUGGGCGUAAAGGGCGUGUAGGCGGGAAGGAAAGUCAGAUGUGAAAUCCCCGGGCUCAACCUGGGAACUGCAUCUGUGACUGUAUAGCUAGAGUACGGUAGAGGGGGAUGGAAUUCCGCGUGUAGCAGUGAAAUGCGUAGAUAUGCGGAGGAACACCGAUGGCGAAGGCAAUCCCCUGGACCUGUACUGACGCUCAUGCACGAAAGCGUGGGGAGCAAACAGG
rnacentral:rRNA from 1 species